GAACCACUGAACCACGCAACCACCGAACCACCGAACCACUCGACCACACUCAAUGACUUUAUUUUAAUUCGAAAUUUGCCUCGAGUUGUGCUCUUUUUUUAUUGUGUCUUGGUUUCCAUCGGUGAGUUUCAGUUUUUCAGUUUUUUAGAUGGCAUUAGUCAUCCCCAAAGCCACAGUCAUCGUCUCCGUCUCCAUUCUGGUGUGCAAUUUGGCUUUUGUUUUUCAUUUUUUUAAACAUUUUUUUCAUUGCAAUUUUCAUUUCAGCUGGGUAAGUGUUAAGGUUGCCGAUUCUUAGUCUUCAACCUGUUGUCGUUUAUUGUACUUGACAGCAGCCAUCGAAAGGGCAAGCAAACACAUAUUUCGCAAAGCUCAUUAAGUUUGUUUUUUCCUCUGGCUGUUUUCUUCCCCCCGAAAGAAACCCCUUCUAGAUAUUCGAACCCGAACUGUGCUAAAUUUCGUAAUCGAAAGUUGUUUUGAUGGCUCGGCUUUUGGGUGAGCAGUGCUUAGUCAAUGAUAUUAAGUAAUACUUAGACACGACUGUGUACCGAUACUACACCAUCAGGUAUAUAUGUAUAUAUACAUUUGUUUUUUAGCUAGUACUGGAUACUUGGGGUACUCGAGGCCUCAUUUGCAUGGGCCCGUCCACUUGGAAUUGAAAUUAUAUAUUCUGAGCCCCGGCGAGUGUAAACAUUUGCUCCAAGUUGUUUAUGCAAGCUGCUGUUGGCAUUAGUCUUACUUUAGGCACUAUUCAGGUAGUUCCUAGGUGCUCUUAUCAACCAGGAACUGUUUGACAAAUUCAAGAGGAACCCAAGACCAGGAAACCGAAUCGAAAUAGGAAGUAUUAGCGAAUCGUUUGGGAAACAAAUACGCGUAUCAACGAGCAUAUUUAAGUGGCUCAACAAAGGGCGGUGAGUGAGUAACUCAACGCAAUCCUGAUGCAGCUCCUCUUGGCAAACAUCAGGAAAAGGCAACCGAGCAAACAAUUUGCAUUAUUAAUUUAAUUGAAAAACUUGUUAAAUUAAAUAUUUAAAUUUCGCUGCAGCCUCAGUCGCUGUCCUCGUCUCAGCGGCACUUGGAGUCGACGUCAAACAAUAUGGCAAAUGAUAAUAUUAAUAUGAAUAAAUGCAAAUUGAGUUACAUACUAGCCAGCUGAUUGUGGCAAUAUAAGGAGGGGGAGGGACUUGGGGGUCUUGGCAUCCACUUGGGACAUUUAUAGAACAUUGUUGCAAUUAAUAUGCUCGACUGUGGGCAGUGGAGCCAUUUAUGUGGCACACGAAGCGAAACUCUAUCGACUGUCGCCAUGGGAAUCCACUUCAAGGGAAACAGGUUCAGGAGAACGAUUGCAUAGACGUUUCUAUGGUUUUUCGCUCUGGCUUUAAUUUAGGAGUGGAAAUAAUUAUUUAACGUAAAUGAAUUCAUGUUUUAAAAUCGUAAAUACCUAUCGAUGUUAUUUGAAACAUUUUCUUGACUACUUUGGGUCUAGAAACAUUCUUAUAUGUAGUUGAACCUUAUGAUAUUAUUUUAUUAUACUUUUUGAAUCGUUCCUUAUAAAACGCUUAAGGAGAUUUCAAUAGACUUUA